AGGUUGGGCUGUAUUAGGUUACUGUAAUGGUCUGUGGUGGUGGUGGUGGUGUCUACAGGUUGGGCUGUAUUAGGUUACUGUAAUGGUCUGUGGUGUCUACAGGUUGGGCUGUAUUAGGUUACUGUAAUGGUCUGUGGUGUCUACAGGUUGGGCUGUAUUAGGUUACUGUAAUGGUCUGUGGUGGUGUCUACAGGUUGGGCUGUAUUAGGUUACUGUAAUGGUCUGUGGUGUCUACAGGUUGGGCUGUAUUAGGUUACUGUAAUGGUCUGUGGUGGUGGUGGUGUACAGGUUGGGCUGUAUUAGGUUACUGUAAUGGUCUGUGGUGUCUACAGGUUGGGCUGUAUUAGGUUACUGUAAUGGUCUGUGGUGGUGGUGUCUACAGUUUGGGCUGUAUUAGGUUACUGUAAUGGUCUGUGGUGGUGGUGGUGUCCAGGUUGGGCUGUAUUAGGUUACUGUAAUGGUCUGUGGUGUCUACAGGUUGGGCUGUAUUAGGUUACUGUAAUGGUCUGUGGUGGUGGUGUCCAGGUUGGGCUGUAUUAGGUUACUGUAAUGGUCUGUGGUGGUGGUGGUGUCUACAGGUUGGGCUGUAUUAGGUUACUGUAAUGGUCUGUGGUGUCUACAGGUUGGGCUGUAUUAGGUUACUGUAAUGGUCUGUGGUGUCUACAGGUUGGGCUGUAUUAGGUUACUGUAAUGGUCUGUGGUGGUGGUGUCCAGGUUGGGCUGUAUUAGGUUACUGUAAUGGUCUGUGGUGGUGGUGGUGUCUACAGGUUGGGCUGUAUUAGGUUACUGUAAUGGUCUGUGGUGUCUACAGGUUGGGCUGUAUUAGGUUACUGUAAUGGUCUGUGGUGUCUACAGGUUGGGCUGUAUUAGGUUACUGUAAUGGUCUGUGGUGUCUACAGGUUGGGCUGUAUUAGGUUACUGUAAUGGUCUGUGGUGGUGGUGGUGUCCAGGUUGGGCUGUAUUAGGUUACUGUAAUGGUCUGUGGUGGUGGUGGUGGUGUCUACAGGUUGGGCUGUAUUAGGUUACUGUAAUGGUCUGUGGUGUCUACAGGUUGGGCUGUAUUAGGUUACUGUAAUGGUCUGUGGUGGUGUCUACAGGUUGGGCUGUAUUAGGUUACUGUAAUGGUCUGUGGUGUCUACAGGUUGGGCUGUAUUAGGUUACUGUAAUGGUCUGUGGUGGUGGUGGUGUACAGGUUGGGCUGUAUUAGGUUACUGUAAUGGUCUGUGGUGUCUACAGGUUGGGCUGUAUUAGGUUACUGUAAUGGUCUGUGGUGGUGGUGUCUACAGUUUGGGCUGUAUUAGGUUACUGUAAUGGUCUGUGGUGGUGGUGGUGUCCAGGUUGGGCUGUAUUAGGUUACUGUAAUGGUCUGUGGUGGUGGUGGUGGUGGUGUCUACAGGUUGGGCUGUAUUAGGUUACUGUAAUGGUCUGUGGUGGUGUCUACAGGUUGGGCUGUAUUAGGUUACUGUAAUGGUCUGUGGUGGUGGUGGUGUCUACAGGUUGGGCUGUAUUAGGUUACUGUAAUGGUCUGUGGUGUCUACAGGUUGGGCUGUAUUAGGUUACUGUAAUGGUCUGUGGUGGUGUCUACAGGUUGGGCUGUAUUAGGUUACUGUAAUGGUCUGUGGUGGUGUCUACAGGUUGGGCUGUAUUAGGUUACUGUAAUGGUCUGUGGUGGUGUCUACAGGUUGGGCUGUAUUAGGUUACUGUAAUGGUCUGUGGUGGUGGUGGUGUCUACAGGUUGGGCUGUAUUAGGUUACUGUAAUGGUCUGUGGUGUCUACAGGUUGGGCUGUAUUAGGUUACUGUAAUGGUCUGUGGUGGUGUCUACAGGUU